rnacentral:misc_RNA from 1 species
AACGAGGCCGACCUGCGGCUGAGUUACCUGCGGAGGGAUCAUUACAUUCAGUAGCCUAGCUACUUGUUUACACCCUUGUUUUUUUGCGCACUUCACUGUAUCCCUCGGCGGGCUUGCUCGCCGGUUGGACAACAUUUAUAACCUUUUUUAAUCUUCAAUCAGCGUCUGAAUUAUAUUUAAUAAUUACAACUUUUAACAAUGGAUCU